ensembl:lncRNA
CGCAAAUGAUAAUUAUCUGGGAAUGGCAAGGUCUUGGUGCAAUUUGGGCACUUCCCAAGUCCCAAGAUGGAUUAGGCUUCUCAGAGGAGCCCUUCAUGUGCCUUGCAUACAUGACAUCUUGUACAACUGAUCCCAGUGGGAUUUUUGCCAAGCUGCUAAAAGUAGUGCUGGUCUGGAAAUAAGCAGCAGUAAUCUUUAGUGAACUUUCAUGCCAAAAAAUCCUGAGGGAUUUAUGCAGUUCUAGGAUAAGGUACUUGCUAGGCAGGAUGGUUUUCAGAUUCCAGUUGUGAAAUACCUAAAUCCCACUGAAAUCCUCACACAGGAGCCUGAAUUCCUUCUUUGCACACAGCUUUUGCUGACCCCACCAGAAACGUGACUUUUCCUUACAUCUUGGAGCCAAGGCAGAAACUAACAUUCUCGGAGUGUUUAGUUUCAUUUCUGGCUACAAGUAUCCUCAGAUUUCUACUUCUCAGGCAUUUCCUUUGGGACUGUCCUCCCUCAGGGAGCGCGGUGCGGGCUGGGCGCUGCCCGAGCCCUGUUUGCAGCGCCACGGCAACGGCGCGGCGGCCUCAGGCCGCUGCCGGGCCCGGCGACCCUGGCGCUGCUCCCGCCGCUCUCCGGGAUCUCCCCUUUGCAGCUGGCGGCUGCGGGACCCAGGAUGCGGUCCAAGAGGCUCACCACCGAACCUCCAUGUAUAACAGAAGAAAUGUUAGAAGAAUGCUUAGCCACAGAUGAUGUGCUUGUGGAUUACUUUAAUGAAUUUUUGAGUCUUCCGGUGUGAGGACGGAGGCUGCAGUUGCCAAUAUAACCUCCCUUUAAAAGGCUUUGACAGAAGGCCCUACAUGCAUGUUAUGUUGAGACUUACCCAGGACUAAAAUUGGCAUCAUGUCUUUGACAUUGAAGGAAGCAAACAAAACAUUCCUGACUACAUUCCUCAUUGAUAGUGUGCUUACUCUAAAUGUUCUUCUCUCUUAAUUAGAUUGUGAUACGUGAUUACGACUUUUGUCUUACUCAACAACAGAAGGGAAAUCCUGGACUCGCUAAAGUCAAUGGGAGAUUUUGCGUUGACCAUGUGUAGUGUGAAUUUUUCCAGACACUUCAUAGAGCUGCUCAAAUUCUCCUCUGGUGUGGACUCUCACUGACAUUUAUUUAUGAUAUACAUAUACCCUUCUUAAGGAAGUUUUGGCAAUGCUCCUGGAUGAGAUCUCUAUUCACUCCCGCCCUUAACCUAAGAAGCAGCCAAACUGUGGUCAUUCUGUUUCUCUUGGGAUCAAACUACGUUAUUUGGGUCUGGGAUGCGAGCAUAUUUACACAUUUGUUAAUUGUAUCCGAAGUUGAGUGUAUCUGAAAACUGUUAAGACAGAGAACAGUGAGAUUUAUAUGUCUGAUAUCCUGGCAACAUGGUGAUGGAUGCUGUUUUGGUUUCUGUUAUGGGAGGACUGAGAGAAAUUUGUCUUCCCUUCAGUUAAGUGUAUAACUUCAGGUUUCAGAAUUAUGUAUUCUGUUUAUUUUUCAGCUGAAAACCGUAUUCAAUGUGCAUUUCACAGCUAAGAAAUUUCUUUGCUGUCAAAAAAGUAUAUGCAAUUGUUUAUUUAUUUAAUAGUAUUGCUGUACCACAGUCUGAAAACAGCUUUUUGUUAUUUGCUCAGAGAUUUUUUCUGAAGCUGAGAUUACUACACUGAGUGACAUUGAUCAUACUGGCUUUGGGGGGAGACUUCCCUGUGAGUGAAAGUUUGCGAAGUCUGUAGACUUCUUAUUUGUUGGUAUUCUCAAGUCCUUGAUCUUAUUUAUUGUUCUACAUUGAUAAUGUAUGAACCCCAAGCUUCAAGGCUCCUGCCAAACUCGAUUUAUUUUUUCUUAACAUCUUGAGGUAUCAUUUCUCCAGAGAUUUCCCUUUCUAUCUUCAAAGCAUCAAAAAUUGGCUCAAACUAAAGAGAAUGAUACACUUAGUCUGUGGUUAGUGUAUUUUACUUGUCUGUUAAAAGCCAAAGCACUUGCCAAAUGUGGGGUAAGAAAGAAAUUUCUUAGUAUAUUAGAUUGGCAUGGAUAACUUCUUCCCUUUCCUUUAUAGUGCAGACUAUCAUCCACUCUUUAACAUAGGCAUCUUCACCAAAGAGAUUCCUCAUUAUUGCAAUGCCGGAAUAUUGGUGGUGCCAUAAACCUCUCUCAUUUUACAGUACUUGACUUCCACUGCAAAGGUUUUAGGUUUGCUACAGGGUAUUGAACAGUUUCUUGGUGCAUUUUUUUUUGUGGCUUGUAAUGUGUGAGAAUGGUUAGAUUGUGUGUUUUGCCCCAAAGUUCUUCACAUACCGAAAAGAAAACAGAUUGACUGAUCCUCACUCCUGUAUGGUAACUGCGAAAAUGUUUCCUGCAAGAAAUCAGGUUCUGGGGGUGUGUUUUUGUGUGUUUCCACUUGAUUUUUCUCAUAACAUUAUCAUUUUUGUGGUGAUGAUGAGUUAAGAAGAUUAGGAAUUAUCUCUUCUUUUGUUGUGCUUAUAAAAACAUUCUGAUUUAUCAUUCUAGUUUUUUUAAAGCAAGCUUCUCCAGAAAGCUUGAACUAUUCUAAAAUGCUUUUAUAUGAUAGUUUGAGAGAUAGAGAGAUUCUCUCUUGGGAAUCUGGGACUUGUACAAAGUCUGGAAGGGACUUUGAGGAGGUCUGUAGUGUGGCUUCCUGCUCAAAACAGGGUCAGUGCUUUAGUACUGACACCAGGUUGCUUGGCACUUUCUGCAAUUGGUCUUGAAAACCUCCAACAGCUGAUUCCUCUCUGGACAGCCUGUCCCAAUGCUAAUCAUCCCACAAUUACGUUUUUUCUUAUAAUCUAGUUGAGACUUCUGUUGUUUCAGUGUAUGCUAAGUGGUCCCACCGUACACCGCCUUAAAAAGCCUGACUUUAUCUGUUCAACAAUCUCCUUGUAAAUACUCUAAGGCUGCUGCUAGUCUUCCCAGAGCUUGUUCCUUAAGAGUGAGUGCUCCAGCCUCUGACCAUCUUGGUAGUCGUCUGAUGGACUUGAUCAAAUAUGUGAAUAUCCUUCUUGUACAGGGGACCCAAAACUGGAUGCAGUAUUCCAGAUGCAUCCUUACUAGUCUCAAGUCUACUGGCUGCUCUCUGACUUGAUAGAAGUAUGCAUGCCUUUUGAUGUCCCUGGGGAUGUGUAACUACAUCCAAACCCCAAAAGUCUGGACUAGAGCCCCCUUUUUCAGCAAAGUUUGUAGUGUACAAAGUCUAAAUCUUCCUAUCCCAUCACUGCAUGUUCUUUUGCUCCAUUAAUAUAUUUGUCUUAUAAAUGAUUGGUAAUCAUACUCCCAAAACAGCAAUACACUUUACAUUUUAAAAAUUGUCACUAGCAUCUGUUUCACUAUAUUAAAGUUGCCAUAGUUUUCUGUUCAGCUAAACAGAAUAUAUAUAUCAAAAAAACCCUAGAUCUAGAGUAAGUUACAAAUGAUUCAAUAGAAGUAGAUACAUGUGAUAAACUAAUAUUGUAUUUGCUUAGUUUUCAAUUUGAAAAACAUGGAACCAAAAUAAUCUCAUCAUGUCUAGUCACAUAGCCCUUUAUUACAAAAUUUGUAUUUUGCUUGCUUUUUUUUCCGCUUGUGAGAGCAUUUCACAUCCUAAGAAACGGAAGUACUUUGUUUCUUGGUGUACUUUCUUCUGUUUCUUUUUUAAAACAUGAAGGAAUAUAUAAGGAAGAGUACAUUUAAAGGCUAUUAAGGUUGCACAGUUAGUCACUUAAAAGCUGGUAGCAGCC